UACGUAGGUGGCAAGCGUUAUCCGGAAUUAUUGGGCGUAAAGCGCGCGUAGGCGGUUUUUUAAGUCUGAUGUGAAAGCCCACGGCUCAACCGAGGAGGGGCUUUGGAAACUGGAAAACUUGAGUGCAGAAGAGGAAAGUGGAAUUCCAUGUGUAGCGGUGAAAUGCGUAGAUAUAUGGAGGAACACCAGUGGCGAAGGCGACUUUCUGGUCUGUAACUGACGUUGAUGUGCGAAAGUGUGGGGAGCAAACAGG
rnacentral:rRNA from 1 species